UGGGGGAUAUUGCACAAUGGGCGAAAGCUUGAUGCAGCGACGCCGCGUGGGGGAUGAAGGCCUUCGGGUUGUAAACUUCUUUUGCUCUGAACAAGGCAUGCCUUUGGGGUGUGUUGAGUGUAGGGGUUGAUUAGCGCCGGCUAACUACGUGCCAGCAGCCGCGGUAAUACGUAGGGCGCGAGCGUUGUCCGGAAUUAUUGGGCGUAAAGGGCUUGUAGGUGGCUGGUUGCGUCUGUCGUGAAAGCUCAUGGCUUAACUGUGGGUUUGCGGUGGGUACGGGCUGGCUUGAGUGCAGUAGGGGAGGCUGGAAUUCCUGGUGUAGCGGUGGAAUGCGCAGAUAUCAGGAGGAAUACCGGUGGCGAAGGCGGGUCUCUGGGCUGUUACUGACGCUGAGGAGCGAAAGCGUGGGGAGCGAACAGG
rnacentral:rRNA from 1 species